AUUGAACGCUGGCGGCAGGCCUAACACAUGCAAGUCGAACGGUAGCACAGAGAGCUUGCUCUCGGGUGACGAGUGGCGGACGGGUGAGUAACGUCUGGGAAACUGCCCGAUGGAGGGGGAUAACUACUGGAAACGGUAGCUAAUACCGCAUAACGUCGCAAGCCCAAAGGGGGGGACCUUCGGGCCUCACACCAUCGGAUGUGCCCAGAUGGGAUUAGCUAGUAGGUGGGGUAAUGGCUCACCUAGGCGACGAUCCCUAGCUGGUCUGAGAGGAUGACCAGCCACACUGGAACUGAGACACGGUCCAGACUCCUACGGGAGGCAGCAGUGGGGAAUAUUGCACAAUGGGCGCAAGCCUGAUGCAGCCAUGCCGCGUGUAUGAAGAAGGCCUUCGGGUUGUAAAGUACUUUCAGCGGGGAGGAAGGCGGUGAAGUUGAUAACUUCACCGAUUGACGUUACCCGCAGAAGAAGCACCGGCUAACUUCGUGCCAGCAGCCGCCGUAA
rnacentral:rRNA from 1 species